GACGAACGCUGGCGGCGUGCUUAACACAUGCAAGUCGAACGGAAAGGCCUCUUUCGGGGGGUACUCGAGUGGCGAACGGGUGAGUAACGCGUGAGUAACCUGCCCUUGACUUUGGGAUAACUUCAGGAAACUGGGGCUAAUACCGGAUAGGAGCUCCUGCUGCAUGGUGGGGGUUGGAAAGUUUCGGCGGUUGGGGAUGGACUCGCGGCUUAUCAGCUUGUUGGUGGGGUAGUGGCUUACCAAGGCUUUGACGGGUAGCCGGCCUGAGAGGGUGACCGGCCACAUUGGGACUGAGAUACGGCCCAGACUCCUACGGGAGGCAGCAGUGGGGAAUAUUGCACAAUGGGUGGAAGCCUGAUGCAGCAACGCCGUGUGCGGGAUGACGGCCUUCGGGUUGUAAACCGCUUUCGCUCAUGACGAAGCUUUGUGUGACGGUAGUGGGUAAAGAAGCACCGGCUAACUACGUG
rnacentral:rRNA from 1 species